rnacentral:rRNA from 1 species
AUUGAACGCUAGCGGCAUGCCUUACACAUGCAAGUCGAACGGCAGCACGGGAGCAAUCCUGGUGGCGAGUGGCGAACGGGUGAGUCAAGUAUCGGAACGUGCCCAGUCGUGGGGGAUAACGUAGCGAAAGUUACGCUAAUACCGCCUACGAUCUAUGGAUGAACGCGGGGGAUCGCAAGAACUCGCGCGAUUGGAGCGGCCGAUAUCAGAUUAGGUAGUUGGUGGGGUAACGGCUCACCAAGCUGACGAUCUGUAGCUGGUCCGAGAGGACGACCAGCCACACUGGGACUGAGACACGGCCCAGACUCCUACGGGAGGCAGCAGUGGGGAAUUUUGGACAAUGGGCGAAAGCCUGAUCCAGCCAUGCCGCGUGCAGGAUGAAGGCCUUCGGGUUGUAAACUGCUUUUGUACGGAACGAAAAGGUUUGGGCUAAUAAGCUGAGCUCAUGACGGUACCGUAAGAAUAAGCACCGGCUAACUACGUGCCAGCCGCCGCCGUAA